UGAGGGGUCCUCCGGUACAAUGGAAACCAUUGAAGCACAGGGAUUAUGAAGUGGACCUUGAGUCUCGAUUGGGAAAGACUCAGGUUGUUACUCCAAUUGCACCUCUAAGUCAGCAGGAUGGAGUACAUAUACAACAUCGGUGAUAGAUGUGAUGCAAAGGUCUCAACACGUUGUAACGUGUCAAGUGUGGAGAAAGUAUAUGAUGCAUUAGAUGAUGUUCAUAAGGAAAUUUUCUUGAAUUCGUGCUUCGGUAAAAUAUACAACAUUAGGAAUAUGAAAAUAUCUGCCUAACUAAUUCACAACUUGUUAUUACGACGGGUGGUCUCUGUGAAUGAGGAUGAACUAUGGUUUUGUUUAAGAAUGGAAAAAGUUGCCCCUUUUUCUUUGUAUCAGUUUAUGCUAGUUACAGGAUUAAACCCUGCUAAUGAGGAGGAGUAUUAGAGCCAAAUAAAUGAAAAUGGUAGAUUGAAAACUAAAUACUUCCCAAUAUCGAGUAAGGUUACGCCUAAAGAAUUAAAUGAGGCUUUUGAGAAAGAGAUAGAAGACAUGGAUGAUAAAUAUAAAUUGGGUUUAGUUCUUAUAUAUGAGACAAUGUUGAGGUCCAAAGAAAAAAAACACAUCUAUAGAUCUUCGCACCUUGGAUAUAGUUGAUGAUUUAGAACUAUUUAAUGGAUAUCCAUGGGGAGCAAAAAGUUUUAAAUUUACAAUACAUGCAUUCCUAAGAGUGUCGAAGGAUCCAAAACCUAAAUAUUCUUUGUGGGGGUUUCCACUAGCGAUACAGGUGUGGGCGUUCGAGUCUAUUCCACAAAUAGCAAACAUGUAUCGUACUAGGUUAACUGUCAACGAGCUGCCGAGAAUGUGCCGUUGGAAAUCAACACUUACUCCUAAUUCUCAUGAUAUUGCUGAAGUCUUGGAUGACCCACAACUUUUCCCGAUGAGACUGAACAACAAUAUGUGAAUUUAUUUGUUCACGGAUCUAGAAAAGAAGAUCCGAUCUUGGAUGUUUAUCUCUAUGAGGCCGGAGGAUACCCAAAUGUUGAUGAUGCAUUACUAGAUGAUGAUCUAGAUCUACCACAAACCCAAAGGGAGAGAGUCUCUCCUAAUACACGUGAAAAUGAUAUGCAAAGUUCGGGAACUGCUCGUGUACAUCAGCAUUCUAUUCCUACAAGUCGAAGACCUCCAUGCAGCCAUCGAGCUUCUUGCGACCACGACGAUAUGUUGAGACAAUUGUUG